rnacentral:rRNA from 1 species
UACAGAGGUCCCGAGCGUUGUUCGGAUUCACUGGGCGUAAAGGGCGCGUAGGCGGCCCGCUAAGUCGAACGUGAAAUCCCCGAGCUCAACUCGGGAACUGCGUCCGAUACUGGCGGGCUUGAAUCCGGGAGAGGGAUGCGGAAUUCCAGGUGUAGCGGUGAAAUGCGUAGAUAUCUGGAGGAACACCGGUGGCGAAGGCGGCAUCCUGGACCGGCAUUGACGCUGAGGCGCGAAAGCUAGGGGAGCAAACGGG